rnacentral:pre_miRNA from 1 species
GGUGUCUGGAAUGAGGUUUGAUCCAAGAUCCUUCCAUUUCAUCCAUCACUUGUCUUGAUUUCUUUUUCUUGUUUUCAUUAUCAUGGGUUUCCUACACCUUGAUGGACUGAUCUCGGAUCAGGCUUCAUUCCUCACACC